ACCAUAUCUCUCUUUUGUUAUCAGUAAUAAUAUUGUUAUAAUUCAAGAAUUAUCAUGCCACUAAUACAGUAUGGGCAUGUUUCAUUCACCUAUCUUAGACUGUGAAAUCGGAAUGAAAAUCAUUGAUUCCGAUAGUAUCGUUUGUUUUAUCGGAAUCGGAUUCUGAUGUUCAUUUCACUUCGGAAUGAAAAUUGUCAAAUCCAUUUAUGGUUCAAUCCAGUUUUAAAUUCCGAAUUGGUCAAUUUGAAAGUAAAUUAUUUAAAAUCUUUUUUCAUCAACACCCCUAUCUACUCUUUCUUCACCACUUUUCUCUCUCUUAAUCAAAACUUUCUUUUAAAAAUUCUAAAUUUCACCGGCCGUCCUUAGAGUAAGUGGCAAAGAGCUUAGUGGUUGGUACCCGAGACCCAAGUUCGAAUCCAAGUUGAUUCACAUUUGCAACUAAGUUUAUUUCUAAAUGAAAUAAACGAAGCGGAUAGUGUGCUACUUAUCUCUCAAAAAAAAAAAUUUCUAAAUUUUUAUUUCAAUUUUUAUUUUAAUAAUAAAUCAAAUAUUUUUAAAUAAUUCGUCAUUUUAUUUUUCAUUUCAAAACAAUCUAAUUCUAUUUCUCAUUUCUAUUUCAAUCAUAAACCAAAUAUGUCUUUAUAUAUGUAUACUACU
rnacentral:lncRNA from 1 species